GGGAAAAUCAAGGCUGAGGCGUGAUGACGAGGCACUACGGUGCUGAAGCAACAAAUGCCCUGCUUCCAGGAAAAGCCUCUAAGCAUCAGGUAACAUCAAAUCGUACCCCAAACCGACACAGGUGGUCAGGUAGAGAAUACCAAGGCGCUUGAGAGAACUCGGGUGAAGGAACUAGGCAAAAUGGUGCCGUAACUUCGGGAGAAGGCACGCUGAUAUGUAGGUGAGGUCCCUCGCGGAUGGAGCUGAAAUCAGUCGAAGAUACCAGCUGGCUGCAACUGUUUAUUAAAAACACAGCACUGUGCAAACACGAAAGUGGACGUAUACGGUGUGACGCCUCCCCGGUGCCGGAAGGUUAAUUGAUGGGGUUAGCGCAAGCGAAGCUCUUGAUCGAAGCCCCGGUAAACGGCGGCCGUAACAAUAACGGUCCUAAGGUAGCGAAAUUCCUUGUCGGGUAAGUUCCGACCUGCACGAAUGGCGUAAUGAUGGCCAGGCUGUCUCCACCCGAGACUCAGUGAAAUUGAACUCGCUGUGAAGAUGCAGUGUACCCGCGGCAAGACGGAAAGACCCCGUGAACCUUUACUAUAGCUUGACACUGAACAUUGAGCCUUGAUGUGUAGGAUAGGUGGGAGGCUUUGAAGUGUGGACGCCAGUCUGCAUGGAGCCGACCUUGAAAUACCACCCUUUAAUGUUUGACGUUCUAACGUUGACCCGUAAUCCGGGUUGCGGACAGUGUCUGGUGGGUAGUUUGACUGGGGCGGUCUCCUCCUAAAGAGUAACGGAGGAGCACGAAGGUUGGCUAAUCCUGGUCGGACAUCAGGAGGUUAGUGCAAUGGCAUAAGCCAGCUUGACUGCGAGCGUGACGGCGCGAGCAGGUGCGAAAGCAGGUCAUAGUGAUCCGGUGGUUCUGAAUGGAAGGGCCAACGCUCAACGGAUAAAAGGUACUCCGGGGAUAACAGGCUGAUACCGCCCAAGAGUUCAUAUCGACGGCGGUGUUUGGCACCUCGAUGUCGGCUCAUCACAUCCUGGGGCUGAAGUAGGUCCCAAGGGUAUGGCUGUUCGCCAUUUAAAGUGGUACGCGAGCUGGGUUUAGAACGUCGUGAGACAGUUCGGUCCCUAUCUGCCGUGGGCGCUGGAGAACUGAGGGGGGCUGCUCCUAGUACGAGAGGACCGGAGUGGACGCAUCACUGGUGUUCGGGUUGUCAUGCCAAUGGCACUGCCCGGUAGCUAAAUGCGGAAGAGAUAAGUGCUGAAAGCAUCUAAGCACGAAACUUGCCCCGAGAUGAGUUCUCCCUGACCCUUUAAGGGUCCUGAAGGAACGUUGAAGACGACGACGUUGAUAGGCCGGGUGUGUAAGCGCAGCGAUGCGUUGAGCUAACCGGUACUAAUGAACCGUGAGGCUUAAC
rnacentral:rRNA from 1 species